AGCUAGUUGGUAGGGUAAGAGCCUACCAAGGCAGAGAUCGGUAGCCGGCCUGAGAGGGCACACGGCCACACUGGCACUGAAACACGGGCCAGACUCCUACGGGAGGCAGCAGUGGGGAAUCUUGCACAAUGGGGGCAACCCUGAUGCAGCGACGCCGCGUGAGCGAUGAAGCCCUUCGGGGUGUAAAGCUCUUUCGGCAGGGAAGAUGAUGACGGUACCUGCAGAAGCAGCUGCGGCUAACUACGUGCCAGCAGCCGCGGUAAUACGUAGGCAGCGAGCGUUGUUCGGAGUUACUGGGCGUAAAGGGUGUGUAGGCGGUUCUUUAAGUUUGGUGUGAAAUCUCCCGGCUUAACCGGGAGGGUGCGCCGAAUACUGAGGGACUAGAGUGCGGGAGAGGAAAGUGGAAUUCCUGGUGUAGCGGUGAAAUGCGUAGAUAUCAGGAGGAACACCGGUGGUGUAGACGGCUUUCUGGACCGUAACUGACGCUGAGACACGAAAGCGUGGGUAGCAAACAGGAUUAGAUACCCUGGUAGUCCACGCCCUAAACGAUGCAUAUUUGGUGUGGGUCAUUCAUUUGAUCCGUGCCGGAGCUAACGCGUUAAAUAUGCCGCCUGGGGA
rnacentral:rRNA from 1 species